rnacentral:lncRNA from 1 species
UAGCAAUUUUUUUUUUAUUUUUAUGCAAACCUCUACAGCAUUCCUUUUUCAGCAGUUUUCUUUUUGAUCGUCCCAGAUUUCCUCUUUGAUUCCUGAAUAAAAAAAAUUUAAAAAUUAGUAAGAGAGAAGAAGGAGAUAAGGAAAAUAGAAAAUAUUUUUAUUUUAUUUUAGAUAUAUAUAUAUAUUUUGAAAAUUUUUUAAUAUAUAUAUAUAUGAAAAGAAAAAUAACUAUACUAACAAUUUUCGGCAACGGCGCCAAAAAUUGAAAGUCAACUUUAAAGACCACGCAAUAGCACAUAUCUGGUAGGAUAGUGAUUACGGAUAUCGAUCCACAGGGAUUGGGGUAUAGUUGUUUUUCUCUAAAAGAAAUAAAAAUAUUUAAAAGGAAGAGUUUGUGAAGACUAUUAAACUAAGCAAUUUAAUAAGAAAUGCAAUUAAAAUGAUAUCAGUUUGGGGGAUCCUAGGGCAAGGAAUUCACCACUAACAUCGAAACAAGGAUUAUUUGUAUUUUAAUUUAUUCUUGGGUUAACAUGCAAAUUGGCUACAAGCCUAAUAAGCAUUUAAAUAGAAAUUCACAAAAGUAAUUUGGGAAUAAUCCAUCUUCAGUUGGCAUGAAAUGUCUACCCUAAACUAAUGUGGCAGGACACUGCAUCUUCCCUAAGCAUAGACUAUCUUAUAUUUACUUAGGGAUCAUGGAGAACAGUUGUAUAAAUGUCAUACUUAAAAUCACAGAAAUUAAAUAUGAUUUAAAAAAAGAUAUCCAUUAAAAAAUAAUAAGUUCAUACAACUCCAAGAAUAUAAAAUUAAAAUAUAAAAUCCUUGACCCUUUGUUAGGGCUGCAUCCAGCCCUAGUGAGGAGAUCAGCCUUUCAUGGAGUCGUGGGCGAUAGCAGCAGCAGUGGAGAAGGCUUCCAUCACGACCAGCCCUUCUUUCUUUCUUCCUCCGGCGACUUCCAUCGAAGAAACUCCCUCUCAGCACUUCAUUUUUUUAUAUAGGAAGUUAUUCCCGAAAUGCCCAAACUAUUCUCCCUCCUCUGCUUUUUUUUAUUUCUGUGGUAUUCCCCCCUUCCAAAGAGAUGGGAUGAGCCGGCUUCCUCCCUCCGAAUAGAUGAUGGGAUCAGUCCCCGGCGGGGGAAGAGGAGGAAUGGAACGGAAGAGAAUGCCCCUCAAUCACGUCGACUCCCCUUUUUAUAAGCAGCAAGCUCUCCCUCUCUCCUCCUCUGUUUCUUCAAAUGGGUGGGAAGAUAAGGCUGUGGAGGCUUGAUCUCCUCCGCAGAUGAUGGAAGAUGGUUCCACGGUUGAGAAGAGCUGGCUUUGGUCCCGAUGGCUGGACGGAUGAAGUUGAACCACAGAAUGCAUUCGAGAGCUGAUCGCGGGGACUGUUGACGUGGAUAAAGAUGCAAGCUGGAAAGAUUACGGAUGCUAGGAUUUGUUGAUGGAUGCUAUGCAUAACAGGGGAGCUGGAAGCUUAUCCAGAUGCUGGGAUGAAUCCGUGGAUAAGGAUGAACUCAGGAGCUUGGAAUGGCUGGAAGGGAGGCUAUCGCGAAUGAAAAUAAUCCGGAGAAGAUGGGAUGUUGAAGAUGCUGGAUUCGGGAGCUGGGAGCUUAUCCGGAAGGGAAGUUGGCUUGGUUCAGGAGGAAUCGGAUGCGAAAGGUGAUAAGGAUGCUGGGACGUGAUCCACGGAUGGCCGAACGUGGGAUGCUUGGAUUGGUUUGAGUCAAUCUGGCAUGCCGGCUGGGAGUGGUUCCGAAAUAGGGGAUUCCUUGGAGCUCGGGAUGCACUUGGGAUGUUGAUCCACUCCGUGGUGAUGUGGAGAUACAAAUGCUGGGAAGAGAAUGGAAUGAAGGAGGGGAGCUGGGAUGAAGACGGAAUGAAGAAGCUUUGGAUGCAGAACUAUGAACGACAUGCAAACGGGAUGGAGAUACGAUGGAAAGAUAAAAUCUGGGAGGAGACGUGGAAGGCAAUCGGGAUGAGUGUGGGAUGUUGGGAUCAAUCCGGAAGAAGUGGGUUUUGAUUUUAUCCCACGGGUCAUGCUACUUUAUUCCAGAACAGGGGAAGAAAAAUGACGUGGAAUGAGCUUGGGAUUCGCUGGAAGAAAGUUGG